CACAGUGACUACACCAGCAUACAUGCACCUGAUCUAGUCUGAUCUCAGAAACUAAGCAGGGUCUGGCCUGGUUAGUACUUGGAUAGGAGACAUUUUGU
rnacentral:rRNA from 1 species